rfam:Arabidopsis thaliana chromosome 5, complete sequence.
AAACGGCGAGAAUGAUGAACCAAUUAGAUGUGCGAAUGAGGGGUAAUUUCCUCAUUAUGAGCUUAAAACUGUUUGAGGCAUAUUUAACAUCUCUGACUUCGCCGCUU